rnacentral:rRNA from 1 species
ACCGAUUGAAUGGCUCAGUGAGGCGUCGGGACUGGCCCAGAGAGGUGGGCAACCACCGCUCAGGGCCGGAAAGCUCUCCAAACUCGGUCAUUUAGAGGAAGUAAAAGUCGUAACAAGGUCUCCGUUGGUGAACCAGCGGAGGGAUCAUUA